rnacentral:ncRNA from 1 species
CGCCUGAAUACUGAAAAGAUCUGACCUUAGUACGAGAGGACCGGGUUGGACAGACCUCUGAUGUACCAGUUGUCACGCCAGUGGCACGGCUGGGUAGUCACGUCUGGGACGGAUAACCGCUGAAAGCAUCUAAGCGGGAAGCCGGCUUUGAGAUGAGUGUUCGCAGUAUCCAUGGAGAACACAUGGUUGAUAGGCCAGAGGUGCAAGCGCAGCAAUGCGUUCAGCUGACUGGUACUAAUAUUACG